GCUGUAUUUGGCCCAGGGAAGUCUGUAGAGUGUGAUACUCUUAAUCUUAGGGUUGUGGGUUCGAGCCCUACAUUGGGCA